CCGAGGAGAGGAGAACCCAGACAGGAGCAGAAGACUCUUCACCCUGCAGGGGACAGCUGCCAGCAUGACACUGGUUAGCUCGUUGUGGGCACUCCUGAUUUCCAUCUGUCUCGGAGUCAGUAUGGCACAGAAGGUCACUCAGUCUCAACCAGAAAUAUCCAUUCAAGAGGCGACAACAGCAACCCUGGACUGCACAUAUGACACUACAGAUAGUAAUUAUUAUCUAUUCUGGUAUAAGCAACCUCCCAGUGGGCAGAUGAUUUUCAUUAUUCGCCAAGAGGCUUAUAAGCAGCAGAAUGCAACUGAGGGUCGCUUCUCUGUGAACUUCCAGAAAGCAGCCAAGUCCUUCAGUCUCAAGAUCUCAGACUCAGAGCUGGGGGAUGCUGCCACAUAUUUCUGUGCCCUUGUGGGACACACAGUGAUAUGCACACCGGGUUUAGGCUGACAAAAACCUAAGACUUUAACAUCUGUGCAGGGAUGUGGGGA